GGUCAUGAGUAUCAGCGCACAGCCCCGGCUUGCUGAUCGGCAACCCUCCAACCGCGGUGGGGUGCUCCGGGUGAUGACCGGGUUGUGGGAUCGCGUUCACGCAUCCCCGGCAAGCGCGGGUC
rnacentral:ncRNA from 2 species